rnacentral:sRNA from 1 species
GAAUGAAAUAUCGGCUUCGCCGAUGUGAAAUGUGUCCUUCGACACAUGAAAUAUUCCGCCUGCGCGGAAUGUAAAAUGAAAU